GACGAACGCUGGCGGCGUGCCUAAUACAUGCAAGUCGAACGCCUUUUCUUUCACCGGAGCUUGCUCCACCGAAAGAAAAAGAGUGGCGAACGGGUGAGUAACACGUGGGUAACCUGCCCAUCAGAAGGGGAUAACACUUGGAAACAGGUGCUAAUACCGUAUAACACUAUUUUCCGCAUGGAAGAAAGUUGAAAGGCGCUUUUGCGUCACUGAUGGAUGGACCCGGGGUGCAUUAGCUAGUUGGUGAGGUAACGGCUCACCCAGGCAACGAUGCAUAGCCGACCCGGGAGGGUGGUCGGCCACGCUGGGACUGGGAGACGGCCCAGACUCCUACGGGAGGAAGCAGUAGGGAAUCUUCGGCAAGUGACGAAAGUCUUACCGAGCAAUGCCGCGUGAGUGAAGAAGUUUUUCGGAUCGUAAAACUCUGUUGUUAGAGAAGAACAAGGAUGAGAGUAAAACGUUCAUCCCUUGACGGUAUCUAACCAGAAAGCCACGGCUAACUACGUGCCAGCCGCCGCCGUAA
rnacentral:rRNA from 1 species